rnacentral:lncRNA from 1 species
CCAUGUGGAAACAGCUAUCCAGAUCACUCAUGUUUGGAAUAUAUGCAUGUGAUAUAUAUUCAUUUAUUAAUAUUAUAAAAGAAAUGGUAUAUACUGGACACCUUAAAAUGACAGUAAAGACUUUGCUCAAGUGUGUUGCAAUAGGAGGUAAAGGCUACUGUAAUAGGGUACAGAGACUGAACACAACUCCAAAUACAAUAGGAACAAAUGAGAAUUUGUAGCCACAGGCAGAGUGAGGCUGUUGAUGAAAAAUUGGUCAGGGUGUUCCUGCACCUCAGAGCUGUGGAAGUCACAGCAGCCUUAUAUCCUGCUAGCUCCAAGAAUCUCAUAACCAUGAUGUGUCUUGAGGAAGAUAAACUGUUGAAGGAUGAUACCCACUUAGAAGAAUACCAGCCUGCAAAACAGCCAACAAGUUGCAUUUCUAUCAAAGCUGCCUUGAAUGUAUUACCUAUAAAGAUAAGACUUUUCUUUCAGUUACAUAAUAAUUUCCUACAGCUCAUUCCUUUUAAUAUUUCAUGAAUUUGAUUGCCUGCCUCUGUUUAAGUUUCUUAUGAUUAAGAAGGAUAGA